rnacentral:lncRNA from 1 species
CAGAUACCAUGUAUUUUGAGGAGAAGCUGAGCAUUGUUGGGGACAGCACCACCAUUAGACCUGGACUAUUGGGGCCCAGGGAUUUAGAGAGCCCCACAUAUCACACCCACCCACACACCCACCCACACACAACAGUUUAUUAAAUAACAGAUAAGCACCUCUGUCCUUUGGGAUCUGGUGCCUGGUACUGGCACAGUGGGACCCACAUCACUGAUUAUUCUCUUUCACAACCAACACUGUUUAGGCCCCAGGAAACAAUCUCUACAUGUGGCACUCGACUCUGAAAACAACAGGUCAAAUGUCCUGAUACUUCGUGGAUGAUGCCACCGCAGACAUAGGAGACAGACACUGCUUCAAGAGAGGAUUUGAGUGAACUUGGAGGACAUUUGAAAAUGACCAAAAAAUAUAAUGAGAAGAAAUUAGCCUGACUAGGGUGGGAGCAGGAAGAAGAAAUGUAUCUUCUUUGAAAGAGCCUUGCAAACAAGAAAACGGGCCAGGGACAAAGUGCAGGAGGAGAGGCUAUCACAAUGGCUCAGAGGCUUGAAAAGAGCUCAGGGUCAGACCAUGUUCUCUGAUAUGGGACAGGCAGAGCCCCGUGAAUGAGGUAGGCGAGGGUGCGUGGGACACUCGGCAGCGGCCCAAUCUCUAUCUGCAAAGAGCCUGUGGAGGAAGGGGAGGUGCUGGGGGGAGCUGACUUGGGGGUCACACAGCCCCCACUGGGCUCCCCUAGGGUGGGAGCCAGGGUCUCUGUGAGGCACCAGGAGACGGGACUGGGGCCAGCAGGCACAAGUGCUGGGAGGAGGACUUCAGCUCAGAGAAGGAGCAGAUCUCCACUAGGGGGCAGGAGGGGACCACAGAUGCUAAACAGCCGGCCAUUCAGGGUUACCCUGGCCAGAAUUCUCCCUUAAGCCUCAGCUUCCAGAGCUACAAAUCAGAGCUAAAUAAACCCUCCUUCCACUGGGGGUGGCGGAGGUCACGUGUGUGUGUGCACGCAUGUGUGAACGUGUGUCAGAGACCAGCAGCCGCUCACCCAAUCCAUUUCUUCUGCCUGGACAGACUACAUCUUCAGCCUUAUUUGUGCUCUAGCCAACGGGAUGGAAGUGGAGCGAUGCUAGCCCCAUAGAGGCCUGGCCCAGAGACCCUCCUGCACAAUUCUCUACACUCUCUU